GGCCUUUAUGCCCAGGGCUACGACACGUGCUACAAUGGUGGUACAAAGAGAUGCAAUCUCGCAAGAGCAAGCAAACCUCAAAAAGCCAUCCUCAGUUCGGAUUGGAGUCUGCAACUCGACUCCAUGAAGUCGGAAUCGCUAGUAAUCGCGGAUCAGCACGCCGCGGUGAAUACGUUCCCGGGCCUU
rnacentral:rRNA from 1 species